GAUGAACGCUGGCGGCGUGCCUAAUACAUGCAAGUAGAACGCUGAAGGAAGGAGCUUGCUCUUUCCGGAUGAGUUGCGAACGGGUGAGUAACGCGUAGGUAGCCUGCCUGGUAGCGGGGGAUAACUAUUGGAAACGAUAGCUAAUACCGCAUAACAGUAGAUGUUGCAUGAUAUCUACUUAGAAGGUGCAAUUGCACCACUACCAGAUGGACCUGCGUUGUAUUAGCUAGUUGGUGAGGUAACGGCUCACCAAGGCGACGAUACAUAGCCGACCUGAGAGGGUGAUCGGCCACACUGGGACUGAGACACGGCCCAGACUCCUACGGGAGGCAGCAGUAGGGAAUCUUCGGCAAUGGACGGAAGUCUGACCGAGCAACGCCGCGUGAGUGAAGAAGGUUUUCGGAUCGUAAAGCUCUGUUGUAAGAGAAGAACGAGUGUGAGAGUGGAAAGUUCACACUGUGACGGUAUCUUACCAGAAAGGGACGGCUAACUACGUG
rnacentral:rRNA from 1 species